rnacentral:rRNA from 1 species
GAUGAACGCUGGCGGCGUGCCUAAUACAUGCAAGUCGAGCGAACGGACGAUACGCUUGCUGCUCUCAUGUUAGCGGCGGGCGGGUGAGUAACACGUGUAUAAUCUACCUAUAUUUGUGGUAUCUCUUCGGGAAACCGGCUCUAAUCCCGUAUGAGCUUCUGAACCGCAUGGUGCAAUAGAGAGAGACGGUGGUGCUGGAUCUUAUCGAUGGAUCUGCGCUGCAUUAGCUAGUUGGUAAGGUAACGGCCUACCACGGCAACGAUGCAUAGCCGACGUGAGAGGGGGAUCGGCCACCUGGGAGCUGAGACGCGGACCAUGCUCCUGCGGGAGGCAGCAGUCGCGAACGUUCCGCAGUGGGCGAAAGUCUGACGGAGCAACGCCGCGUGAGUUAUGAAGGUCUUGCGAUCGUAAAAAUCUGCUAUUAGGGAAGAACAUAUGUGUACGGAACUGUGCACAUCUUGACGGUACCGGAUCAGAAAGCCCCGGCUAACUACGUG